GGCUACCUGGCGCAAUGGUAGCGCGUUUGGCUUCGAUCGCCACACGGCUACAAUAAACCAAAAGGUUGCAAGUUCGACUCUUGCGGUGGUCA
rnacentral:tRNA from 1 species